rnacentral:rRNA from 1 species
UAUGGACGGGGAUUACCUUCGGAAAACUAGGAUAAAUACCCGAUAGAGUCAUUAUGCCUGAACGGUUUAUGGUCUAAAUGAUUCGUCGGCGUAGGGAUGAGACUGCGGCUUAUUCAGCUUGUUGUGAGGUAAUGGCCCCACAAGGGUAUACAGGUUAGGGGUCGAGAAGAGAAGGCCGGAGAUGGGUAAUGAGGCCAGGGCCCCGGCCCUAAGGGGCGGAGCAGGCCAGAAACACUUGCAAAGGGGGCAAACAACGAAAAGGUUAAUCGAGUUUUUCUGGCAAAGGAAUUCUUUGUUAGUUCCUAAAUCCCUAAUGGAAUAGGGGUUGGGCAGGUUUGGUGUUCGCCGGCGCGGUAAAAACAGCCCCUCAAGUUGUCCAGAAGAAUAUUGGGGCUUAAGCCUCCGUAGCCUGGUUCGUAAGUUUUCGGUUAAAUUCCUUAGGUUAACCAAUGGCCUGCCGGAAAUUCUGCCGAGGUUGGAAGUGGGAGAGGUUGGCGGUUCUUGGUAGGAAGGGGUAAAAUCCUUUGAUUUUAUGAUGGCCCCCUGUGGGGAAGGCGGUUUACCCGAACCCGUUUGGCGGUGAGGGAUGAAAAGUGGGGGGGCAAACCGGGUUUGAUUCCCGGGUAGUUCCCGCUGUAAACGAUGCCAAAUUGGUGAUGCCCUGGGUUGUGGCCCGUGCCGUGCCGCCGGGAAGCCGUUAAAUUUGCCCCCUGGGAAGUAAGUACGCCAGUUUUGAACCUUAAGGAAUUUGCGGGGGAGCCCCCCCAGGGGGUGAGCCUGCGGUUCAAUUGGAGUUAACGCCGGAAAUUUUU